rnacentral:rRNA from 1 species
UACGUAGGGUGCAAGCGUUGUCCGGAAUUAUUGGGCGUAAAGAGCUCGUAGGCGGUUCGUCGCGUCGGCUGUGAAAUCCCGAGGCUCAACCUCGGGUCUGCAGUCGAUACGGGCGGACUGGAGUUCGGCAGGGGAGACUGGAAUUCCUGGUGUAGCGGUGAAAUGCGCAGAUAUCAGGAGGAACACCGGUGGCGAAGGCGGCUUUCUGGACACUUACUGACGCUGAGACGCGAAAGCGUGGGGAGCAAACAGG